rnacentral:rRNA from 1 species
GAUGAACGCUAGCGGCAGGCCUAACACAUGCAAGUCGAACGGUAACAGGAAGUAGCUUGCUACUUUGCUGACGAGUGGCGCACGGGUGCGUAACGCGUAUACAAUCUACCUUUUACAGGGGGAUAGCCUUUAGAAAUGAAGAUUAAUACCCCAUGGUAUUAUCGAUAUGGCAUAUAUUGAUAAUUAAAGUUUCGGCGGUAAAAGAUAAGUAUGCGUUCUAUUAGCUAGAUGGUGUGGUAACGGCACACCAUGGCAACGAUAGAUAGGGGCCCUGAGAGGGGGAUCCCCCACACUGGUACUGAGACACGGACCAGACUCCUACGGGAGGCAGCAGUGAGGAAUAUUGGACAAUGGUCGGAAGACUGAUCCAGCCAUGCCGCGUGCAGGAUGACUGCCCUAUGGGUUGUAAACUGCUUUUGUACGAGAAGAACACCCUCUUCGUGAAGAGGACUGACGGUAUCGUACGAAUAAGGACCGGCUAACUCCGUGCCAGCAGCCGCGGUAAUACGGAGGGUCCGAGCGUUAUCCGGAAUCAUUGGGUUUAAAGGGUCCGUAGGCGGGCUAUUAAGUCAGAGGUGAAAUUGUGCAGCACAACUGUAGAACUGCCUUUGAUACUGAUAGUCUUGAGUUAUGGUGAAGUGGUUAGAAUAUGUAGUGUAGCGGUGAAAUGCUUAGAUAUUACAUAGAAUACCGAUUGCGAAGGCAGAUCACUAACAAUAUAUUGACGCUGAUGGACGAAAGCGUGGGUAGCGAACAGGAUUAGAUACCCUGGUAGUCCACGCCGUAAACGAUGGUUACUAGCUGUUUGGACGAAUUGACGUCUGAGUGGCCAAGCGAAAGUGAUAAGUAACCCACCUGGGGAGUACGUUCGCAAGAAUGAAACUCAAAGGAAUUGACGGGGGCCCGCACAAGCGGUGGAGCAUGUGGUUUAAUUCGAUGAUACGCGAGGAACCUUACCAAGGUUUAAAUGCAGAACGACAGGUCUAGAGAUAGACUCUUCUUCGGACGGACUGCAAGGUGCUGCAUGGUUGUCGUCAGCUCGUGCCGUGAGGUGUCAGGUUAAGUCCUAUAACGAGCGCAACCCCUACUGUUAGUUGCCAGCGAGUAAUGUCGGGGACUCUAGCGGGACUGCCGGCGUAAGCCGCGAGGAAGGUGGGGAUGACGUCAAAUCAUCACGGCCCUUACGUCCUGGGCUACACACGUGCUACAAUGGUGCGGACAAAGAGCAGCCACCUGGUGACAGGGAGCUAAUCUCUAAACCGCAUCUUAGUUCGGAUUGAAGUCUGCAACUCGACUUCAUGAAGCUGGAAUCGCUAGUAAUCGCAUAUCAGCCAUGAUGCGGUGAAUACGUUCCCGGGCCUUGUACACACCGCCCGUCAAGCCAUGGAAGCUGGGGGUGCCUGAAGUCGGUAACCGUAAGGAGCUGCCUAAGGCAAAACUAGUAACUAGGGCUAAGUCGUAACAAGGUAGCCGUACCGGAAGGUGC